AUCCCACCCAUAGUCGAUUCACUAUCAACGUAUGAUAUUGGAGCCACCAUCUACGGUUCUUGAGCUCUGUCUUCUUCAUCAGAUGCAUUGGCAUCUUCAUUUUGCUCCAUGCCGGCUAACUCAGCAAAUAAGUGAAUCGGUGCAUUCUUGUCACUCUCAUUCCCACAGUAAAGAGCAAUCAUUCUCUCCAAGUCUUCGUCGUCUACAAGUUCCAUUUCAGUGAAUUUGACCGGAUUUGUCGAAAUUGGAAACUUGUAGAAAAUUUUUGAUAUCCUUCUCCC
rnacentral:lncRNA from 1 species